GACAGAGGGUGCAAACGUUGUUCGGAAUUACUGGGCGUAAAGCGCGUGUAGGCUGCUCUGCAAGUCGGAUGUGAAAGCCCUGGGCUCAACCUAGGAAGUGCACUCGAAACUGCAGAGCUUGAGUCCUGGAGAGGAAGGCGGAAUUUACGGUGUAGCGGUGAAAUGCGUAGAUAUCGUAAGGAAGACCAGUGGCGAAGGCGGGUCUCUGGACAGUUCCUGACGCUGAGGCACGAAGGUCAGGGGAGCAAACGGG
rnacentral:rRNA from 1 species